rnacentral:misc_RNA from 1 species
CCUUAAUUGCCUCAGAUCUUCUGGCCAUCAAUCUGAAAACUGUAGACAUUUCUCCAAAAAAUACCUGGAAUGCCGCAUGGAAAAAAACUUGAUGGCAAGGCAAGACAUGUCAGAACUUGGGUUUGAAAAGGUAACUGAUUUGGAAGCUUCUGGAGAGAAACAACAAUAGGAUUAAUAACUAAGUAGGAAAUAAUCACAGGGACACAGAUGUAUUUGGAAUUAAAGACUGAAGCUUAUGCUAGUGCUGGCAGAGUUAAUCAGGAAUUCAUAUUCAUUUGACAGGUAAACUUAUCAUAAAUUGUUCACAACCAAGAUAAUGGACCAUUAUGGGGGUUUGAUUAGAACUCUCUUCAC